rnacentral:rRNA from 1 species
AGAGUUUGAUCCUGGCUCAGGAUGAACGCUGGCGGCGUGCUUAACACAUGCAAGUCGAACGAAGCACUACCGACGGAACUUUUCGGAGGGAAGAUGGUAAUGACUGAGUGGCGGACGGGUGAGUAACGCGUGGGCAACCUGCCCCAUAGAGGGGGACAACAGCUGGAAACGGCUGCUAAUACCGCACAACAAGGAGAGAGCGCAUGUUCUUUUCUUCAAAGAUUUAUCGCUAUGGGAUGGACCCGCGUCUGAUUAGCUGGUUGGUGAGGUAACGGCUCACCAAGGCGACGAUCAGUAGCCGGCUUGAGAGAGUGGACGGCCACAUUGGGACUGGGACACGGCCCAGACUCCUACGGGAGGCAGCAGUGGGGAAUAUUGCACAAUGGGGGAAACCCUGAUGCAGCGACGCCGCGUGAGUGAAGAAGUAUUUCGGUAUGUAAAGCUCUAUCAGCAGGGAAGAUAAUGACGGUACCUGACUAAGAAGCCCCGGCUAACUACGUGCCAGCAGCCGCGGUAAUACGUAGGGGGCAAGCGUUAUCCGGAUUUACUGGGUGUAAAGGGAGCGUAGGUGGCAGGGCAAGUCAGAUGUGAAAACCCCGGGGCUCAACCCCGGGAGUGCAUUUGAAACUGUCCAGCUGGAGUGCAGGAGAGGUAAGCGGAAUUCCUAGUGUAGCGGUGAAAUGCAUAGAUAUUAGGAGGAACACCAGUGGCGAAGGCGGCUUACUGGACGAUGACUGACGCUGAGGCUGGAAAGCGUGGGGAGCAACCAGGAUUAAUUACCCUGGUAGUCCCCCCCGUAAACGAUAUAUAAUAGGUGUCGGCGGGACAAGGCACCGCCGGUACCGCAGCAAACGCAGUACGUAUUCCGUCUGGGGAGUGCGUUCGCAAGAGUGAAACUCAAAGUGAAUUGGCGGGGACCCGCGCAAGCGGUGGAGCAUGUGGUUUAAUUUGAAGCAACGCGGAGAACCUUACCAAGUCAUGACAUCCUGCUGACGGUCCCUUAGCUAGGGGCUUUCCUUCGGGACAGCAGAGACAGGUGGUGCAUGGUUGUCGUCAGCUCGUGUCGUGAGAUGUUGGGUUAAGUCCCGCAACGAGCGCAACCCCUAUUGCCAGUAACCAGCAUUUCGCAUGGGGACUCUGGUGAGACUGCCGGGGAUAACCCGGAGGAAGGUGCGGCCGACGUCAAAUCAUCAUGCCCCUGAUGGGCUGGGCUACACACGUGCUACAAUGGUGUUGACAGAGUGAGGCGAACCUGCGAAGGGGAGCAAAGCACAAAAAAGGCACCUCAGUUCGGAUUGUAGUCUGCAACUCGACUACAUGAAGCUGGAAUCGCUAGUAAUCGCAGAUCAGAAUGCUGCGGUGAAUACGAUCCCGGGUCUUGCACACUCCGCCCGUCA